AGUGAACGCUGGCGGUAGGCCUAACACAUGCAAGUCGAACGGCAGCACAGUAAGAGCUUGCUCUUACGGGUGGCGAGUGGCGGACGGGUGAGGAAUACAUCGGAAUCUACUUUUUCGUGGGGGAUAACGUAGGGAAACUUACGCUAAUACCGCAUACGACCUACGGGUGAAAGCAGGGGAUCUUCGGACCUUGCGCGAUUGAAUGAGCCGAUGUCGGAUUAGCUAGUUGGCGGGGUAAAGGCCCACCAAGGCGACGAUCCGUAGCUGGUCUGAGAGGAGGAUCAGCCACAAUGGAACUGAGACACGGUCCAGACUCCUACGGGAGGCAGCAGUGGGGAAUAUUGGACAAUGGGCGCAAGCCUGAUCCAGCCAUACUGCGUGGGUGAAGAAGGCCUUCGGGUUGUAAAGCCCUUUUGUUGGGAAAGAAAAGCAGCAGGUUAAUACCCCGCUGUUCUGACGGUACCCAAAGAAUAAGCACCGGCUAACUUCGUG
rnacentral:rRNA from 1 species